UGUGUAGGCGGUUCUCUAAGUUUGGUGUGAAAUCUCCCGGCUCAACUGGGAGGGUGCGCCGAAGACUGGAGGGCUAGAGUGCGGGAUGGGAGAGUGGAAUUCCUGGUGUAGCGGUGAAAUGCGUAGAUAUCAGGAGGAACACCUGUGGUGUAGACGGCUCUCUGGACCGCAACUGACGCUGAGACACGAAAGCGUGGGUAGCAAACAGGAUUAGAUACCCUGGUAGUCCACGCCCUAAACGAUGCAUAUUUGGUGUGGGUCAUUCAUUUGAUCCGUGCCGGAGCUAACGCGUUAAAUAUGCCGCCUGGGGAGUACGGUCGCAAGGCUGAA
rnacentral:rRNA from 1 species